GGCAGACGGGUGAGUAACAUGUAGGUAUCUGCCCUUUGGCCUGGAAUAACACGAGGAAACUUGUGCUAAUACCGGAUAAGUCUUUACGGAGAAAGCUUUAUGCACCAUUGGAUGAGCCUGCACUUGAUUAGUUUGUUGGUGGGGUAAUGGCCUACCAAGACUGUGAUCAAUAGCUGAUUUGAGGGGAUGAUCAGCCACAUUGGGACUGAGACACGGCCCAAACUCCUACGGGAGGCAGCAGUGGGGAAUCUUGCACAAUGGAGGAAACUCUGAUGCAGCGAUGCCGCGUGAGUGAAGAAGGCCUUUGGGUUGUAAAGCUCUUUCGUCGGGGAAGAAAAUGACUGUACCCGAAUAAGAAGGUCCGGCUAACUUCGUGCCAGCAGCCGCGGUAAUACGAAGGGACCUAGCGUAGUUCGGAAUUACUGGGCUUAAAGAGUUCGUAGGUGGUUGAAAAAGUUGGUGGUGAAAUCCCAGAGCUUAACUCUGGAACUGCCAUCAAAACUUUUCAGCUAGAGUAUGAUAGAGGAAAGCAGAAUUUCUAGUGUAGAGGUGAAAUUCGUAGAUAUUAGAAAGAAUACCAAUUGCGAAGGCAGCUUUCUGGAUCAUUACUGACACUGAGGAACGAAAGCAUGGGUAGCGAAGAGGAUUAGAUACCCUCGUAGUCCAUGCCGUAAACGAUGUGUGUUAGACGUUGGAAAUUUAUUUUCAGUGUCGCAGCGAAAGCGAUAAACACAC
rnacentral:rRNA from 1 species